rnacentral:rRNA from 1 species
UGCCUUAGUAACGGCGAGUGAAGCGGCAACAGCUCAAAUUUGAAAUCUGGCCCUUGGGUCCGAGUUGUAAUUUGGAGAGGAUGUUUUGGGUACCGCCGUGGUUUAAAUUUCUUGGAACAGAAUGUCAGAGAGGGUGAGAGUCCCGUCUGGAACUGCGGUAGGGCCUAUGUAAAACUCCUUCGACGAGUCGAGUUGUUUGGGAAUGCAGCUCAAAAUGGGUGGUAAAUUUCAUCUAAAGCUAAAUAUUGGCCAGAGACCGAUAGCGCACAAGUAGAGUGAUCGAAAGAUGAAAAGCACUUUGAAAAGAGAGUUAAACAGUAUGUGAAAUUGUUGAAAGGGAAGCGCUUGCAACCAGACUUGUGUGUGGCGGUUCCCCCUUGCUUCUGCUUGGGCUACUCCGUCAUAUCCAGGCCAACAUCGGUUCUAGGGGUCGGUUAAAGGCCUUGGGAAUGUAUCUACCCCCGGGUAGACUUAUAGCCCAGGGUGUCAUGCGGCCUCCCGGGACCGAGGAACGCGCCUCGGCGAGGAUGUUGGCGUAAUGGUUGUCAGCGACCCGUCUUGAAACACGGACCAAGGAGUCUAACAUCUAUGCGAGUGUUUGGGUGUCAAACCCGUACGCGAAAUGAAAGUGAACGGAGGUAGGAAGCCUCAAGGCUGCACUAUCGACCGAUCCUGAUAUUUAUGGAUGGAUUUGAGUAAGAGCAUAGCUGUUGGGACCCGAAAGAUGGUGAACUAUGCCUGAAUAGGGUGAAGCCAGAGGAAACUCUGGUGGAGGCUCGCAGCGGUUCUGACGUGCAAAUCGAUCGUCAAAUUUGGGUAUAGGGGCGAAAGACUAAUCGAACCAUUAUAUGAUAGCUACUAGGUGGUUAAGUGUAACCUCAAAGUGGUUGCAAGUGCCUUAUUCUGGCGCGACACUGCUAAAUUGCGGGGACUUCCUAAAGCUAUUGCUACCAAGCUGGCCCUGAAAAGGGGCGGUGGCCGGGGUAAUGACCUAGGGUGUGGUAAAAACGCAAUAGAUGUAACAAUGGAUGAUCCGCAGCCAAGUCCUAAGGGUUUUUUAAGCCUAUGGAUGCAGUUCACAGACUAAAUGGCAGUGGGCUCUAAGUCAGGAUCUUGGAGCUUAAGAUAUAGUCGGUCCCCGGGGAAAGCCCGGGCGCAUACGCUAAAUCUGUGGUACAGAAUAGCCUCCUUAGGGAGGGGUUGCUACAGACCUGAACGGUGCGGACACUUCUUUUAGGGGUGUCGGUAAAUGCUGGUAGCUGGUUCCUGCCGAAGUUUCCCUCAGGAUAGCAGUAACGUUUUCAGUUUUAUGAGGUAAAGCGAAUGAUUAGAGGCCUUGGGGUUGAAACAACCUUAACCUAUUCUCAAACUUUAAAUAUGUAAGAAGCCCUUGUUACUUAAUUGAACGUGGGCAUUUGAAUGUAUCGUUACUAGUGGGCCAUUUUUGGUAAGCAGAACUGGCGAUGCGGGAUGAACCGAACGAGAGGUUAAGGUGCCGGAGUGCACGCUCAUCAGACACCACAAAAGGUGUCAAUGCAUCUAGACAGCCGGACGGUGGCCAUGGAAGUCGGAAUCCGCUUAGGAGUGUGUAACAACUCACCGGCCGAAUGCAUUGGCCCUGAAAAUGGAUGGCGCUUAAGCGUGUCACCUAUACCUCUCCGUAGCCGUUUACUGGAAGCGGCUACGAGUAGGCAGGCGUGGAGGUGCGUGACGAAGC